AUGUCUUCCACCAAUCUUGCUGCCACUGGAUAUUUCCUGUGCAAGGAUGGAGUUGCUGCCCUGUCCUCAGAAUCUCUGGUGGCCCUCCCUCAUUUUGACAUGAAUCUGUACUGGCUGCAGGGGCCAAGGAGGAUCACCAACCACAUCCUUGAUUUUCUAGGCUCAGUAUUAGUGGGAGCUGACCCCGGUCUAAGCUUCCUCUCUGCUGUUAUUUGCCAACUCAGUCCCUGGUGCUAUGGUCCAGGGUGGUCAUUCAUUAGCUGGUUUGCUGCCUCAUUUACAUUUUUACCCAUGAUUUACUAAUUGUAUUCAAUUAUUCUCUAUUAGUUUGACAGUGAAAAGGGUGGCAGUUAUUUCAGGACUCUAUUUCUAGAAGAAGACAUUUCGCCUUCACUGGUUUGAUUUUAAACAUUCAGCUUGCCCUCUUCCCCCUCCUCCCCAUGCACAGAGGAUUUGGAUCUCAGAGUCUGGUUUUGGGUAUCCUUAGCCAGUAAAAUGGUCAAAUAUGGCUUCCAAAAUAUACAAAUUGUGCAAGAGCUGGUUUUUACCAAAGGGCUGUUUUUUGCAGAGUCAUUUUUUGCUUAUAACUACGUCCUAGCAAAGCCUGAGGGACCUGUAAGAAGGAUUUGUGGGAGCCAGAGAGGUGGUUUUGGUUUUAUUAUUAUUUUUUUUUUAAUCCCUUCAAAUUUCACCUCUAUUUCUGAGGUUGAAUCAUAAAUAAAAAUGAGUUUCUAUUAAAAAAAAAAAAAAAAAAAAAGAAAAAAGUGCAAAUCCUUCUCCUCCAGCUCUGGCUUUACCCAGGUAGGCAGUAAUUGCAGUAAUUCUGUUUUAGCACGGAAGCGCCCCUUGUGUGAGAAAGGCUGUGUGAGAAAGGCUGGUGCAAAUGAGGCUAAGGCUGCAAGGCUGAUGGAUAAAUCUGCCUCAAUUCCCCUCAGCCAUUCCCAGUCUGGGCUGUAGAUUCAGGGGGGAAAACCCUCCCUGGCACCCCGGAGCCGAGCGGCGUUGAUGAAGUCGCGGAGUCGCGAGCGGUGUCCCAGCGCCGCGGAACAAAAGAUCCCAGUGUUGAGCCUAAAUGGAGGUCCUAAAUCAUGGGCCAUGCUGUGACAAACUGCACAGGGCUUGCCAGUACUUUUAAAACGGGGCUUUCUUGCCAGGCUGAGAAUCCACA
rnacentral:lncRNA from 1 species